rnacentral:misc_RNA from 1 species
UCAACCUCCCUGUUAGAUUUGUCUACUCUUUCUAGGAAGUCUUGCCAUGAAAUGUCACCAUCACGCAGUUCUAUGCUCAAAGUGGAGCUUCUAUUGGGAAUUACAAUUGCCAUCGGUGAUUGAGCAUCAAUCACUUUACUGUACAAUGGAAGUUUUUUGCCACCACGGCUAAUGAAAUCCUGAGUGAAAAUAGCCUUUGCUUUUGAUAUCAUGAGCCUCGUUGCAAUUUCAGUUGGAGCAAAACUGUCAGCGAUUGAGACAACCACAUAACCCGCAAUAACAAUGGCCAAGUAGAUCACUACGGAAUUGACAUCCAUUGGCAUAUCUAUGGCAAUGGCAGAUCCUUUGUCCAAUCCCAGUGUAUCAAUGCAAUAUGCGACUCUCCAUACUGCAGAUCUUAGUUCCUCAAGAGUCAAUUUGGUAACAGGUGCCUCAUCAUCUCCUUCAUCACGUGUUAUCACAACUAUGUCACUUAAACUCCUCUUUGCAUUCAACCUCAAACAAUUCUUGGCAGGAUUUAGACGUGCCCCAGGAAGCCAUUGACCACCAGGGUGCAAAGGAGUUUCAUGCAGAAUACAUUCAGGACUAACAGAGAAAAAAAUAUCCAUUUCCUCAAAUACGAUCUUCCAGUACAUCUCCAAGUUUGAGACUGUAAAUUCUUGAAAAUCAGAGAAGCUUGAAAUAGGAUUUUUAUAACUUGACCCCAGUAACUCCUUUCCUCGCCGCUCCAAUAACUUACCAAUGUUAGUCAACUUAGCAGCUUCCGGGUCGGGCAACCAAGCAGGCGGGUCAGGUCCAUAGUCAAAGUAACAGCCAUAAUACAUCAUCUGAUGGAAGGCGAAGGGAAGGUCCGGAGUAAGAAGGUAUUGAGAAAUGUGCCGCCAUGUAUUGGUAGCGUCAGCUCCGUAUUUAGCAACUAUCUCAGUGAGCUUUCGGUGGAGUUGGGCGGCGGCGGCGGUGGUGGAGAUUCCCUGCAAUGCCUGAAUAUCCUCGACGGUGACAGAGCGCAGAGGUUGAUAGCAUGCCAUGAGAUUCGAAAAAAAUGAGAAAAGA